GACGAACGCUGGCGGCGUGCUUAACACAUGCAAGUCGAACGGAAAGGCCCUGCUUUUGUGGGGUGCUCGAGUGGCGAACGGGUGAGUAACACGUGAGUAACCUGCCCUUGACUUUGGGAUAACUUCAGGAAACUGGGGCUAAUACCGGAUAGGAACUCCUGCUGCAUGGUGGGGGUUGGAAAGUUUCGGCGGUUGGGGAUGGACUCGCGGCUUAUCAGCUUGUUGGUGGGGUAGUGGCUUACCAAGGCUUUGACGGGUAGCCGGCCUGAGAGGGUGACCGGCCACAUUGGGACUGAGAUACGGCCCAGACUCCUACGGGAGGCAGCAGUGGGGAAUAUUGCACAAUGGGCGGAAGCCUGAUGCAGCAACGCCGCGUGCGGGUUGACGGCCUUCGGGUUGUAAACCGCUUUCGCCUGUGACGAAGCGUGAGUGACGGUAAUGGGUAAAGAAGCACCGGCUAACUACGUG
rnacentral:rRNA from 1 species